rnacentral:rRNA from 1 species
AUGGUGGGCUCAUCCUCCCCACGCCCAAACCCCCUCCCCACUCCCCCGCAGUCCCCUCCCAAUCCCUCACUCCCACGCCCCCGACCCUCGGCGCAGACGGCGCCGUCGGUGCCGAGGAAGAAGCGCAAGGUGAGCCUCCCGAAGAACGAGGAGGUCGCGGCCAGGAUCUUCGAGAAGCACCGCUCCAUGGCAGCGCAGCAGCCGGCCGGCCUCCCGGACCACCAGCACCAGGCUCGCGCGCUCUGCACCGCCUACACCGGCGUCUGCGCCGCCAAGGGAGUUGGAGGUUGGGUUGUUGACGUCAUGGAAGUCUCCUUUCAGGGUCCAGCCUUGAUUUGUCCCCUCCGAGAAGUAAUACACCAGGAGAAACGGAAGAACACACUAAACAAACCUUAUGUGCCAUGGUUGAAAUCAGCUGCUUAUGCAAUAAUGAUCACACUCUACAGGGAAAUGGAAAGAGGGAAGGAAUUUAUGAUGAGGCAAGAGCUUAUUGACGCUGCUGAGGCCAGUGGUCUGUCACAACAUGCAAUAGACCCAAACAACAGUAGGAAUUCUUGGAAUGAUGGUUACAGUUACACUGGAUGGAAUAGCAUGAAGACGUUAACAAAUAAGGAUUUGGUUGAGAAAAAGAGUAAUCCUGCAAAGUAUUACCUAACAGAAAAAGGCAAAGAGACAGCUCGCGAUUGUCUCGCCUCGGCCUCGAUCAUCUCGGGGGAAGCGACGCCCUCGCCCACGACAGAGACAAUCGCCAGGAGCGAGGGGGAGGGCGGAGGGGCGUCUGGCACCUCGACGUGGAAGAAGCCCAUGCCCUCAAUGCCGUGGCCGUACAUCAUAAGCUCCUCGGUCACCGGUCGGUCCGGGAAAAGAACCGCGGGUGGCGGUUCUGCUGAAAAGUCUUUACUAGCUAUGCCACCUCAUCAAUCUAAUGAAAGUUUUCUGAAAGCUUAUGAAGUGGUGCUGAUAUUGGAUGAUCGAGAUACUUUCGGGCCCCAUUUCAGAAGAAAAGUUGUUGAUAAUAUACGCUCGCAGUUUAAUAUUCCUGUAGAGAUUAAACACUUGCCUGUUGGAGAUGCUCUUUGGAUUGCUCGCCAUAAAGAACUUGACAUGGAGUAUGUUCUUGAUUUCAUUGUUGAAAGAAAAAAUGUGGAUGAUUUACUUGGCUCAAUUAAAGACAACAGAUACAAAGAUCAAAAACUAAGACUGAAGAAAUGUGGGUUAAGGAAGCUAAUAUAUCUAGUUGAAGGGGAUGUAAACACUGUAGAUGGAUCAGAGAGCGUUAAAACAGCCUGCUUCACUACUGAGCUUCCUGAAGGAUUUGAUGUCCAGAGAACCACUGGGUAUGCUGACACUGAAAAUAAAUACGACCACCUCACGGGCUCUAUAAUUAAUUAUUACAGCACAAACUUCUCUUUUGUGAAGAGGUGUUCUGACCUUGAGAAGGUCACUCUGAGCGAUAUAUUCGCCCUUCAGCUUAUGCAGGUGCCACAAGUGACAGAAGAAGCUGCUCUUGCUGUCACGAGUCUCUACCCCACUCUUCUCUCGCUUGCUAAGGCGUACACCAUGCUUGAUGGCGUUAGGCGUGCCCAGGAGGAGAUGCUGAAGAACAAGAGCGGCAUGGUCAACGCGGGGGCUAGCAAGAACAUUUUCAAACUCAUCUGGGCAGAAGGAUGA